GAUGAACGCUGGCGGCGUGCCUAAUACAUGCAAGUCGAGCGAACGGACGAGAAGCUUGCUUCUCUGAUGUUAGCGGCGGACGGGUGAGUAACACGUGGAUAACCUACCUAUAAGACUGGGAUAACUUCGGGAAACCGGAGCUAAUACCGGAUAAUAUUUUGAACCGCAUGGUUCAAAAGUGAAGGACGGUCUUGCUGUCACUUAUAGAUGGAUCCGCGCUGCAUUAGCUAGUUGGUAAGGUAACGGCUUACCAAGGCAACGAUGCAUAGCCGACCUGAGAGGGGGAUCGGCCACACUGGAUCUGAGACACGGUCCAGACUCCUACGGGAGGCAGCAGUAGGGAAUCUUCCGCAAUGGGCGAAAGCCUGACGGAGCGACGCCGCGUGAGUGAUGAAGGUCUUCGGAUCGUAAAACUCUGUUAUUAGGGAAGAACAUAUGUGUAAGUAACUGUGCACAUCUUGACGGUACCUAAUCAGAAAGCCACGGCUAACUACGUG
rnacentral:rRNA from 1 species